CUGUAGACUAACAAUAGACAGAACAGGCAUACAAGGAUUAAUAUGAAAUUUACAAUAGUGGAACUUAUGAUGAUUUUAACCCAACUGACUGGGUUAAGAUUUGCGAGGCCAUCAGCAGUGUUCACGAUUGCCUCAGUUCCUGGCACUACAUUUAAAUGGACUUUUGAUGCCUCAAAAAUGUGUUCUUUUAAUUUUGAAAAGUCUAAAGUAAGAUUAUCUUCUCUUCCUUGUAGGUGGUGUCUAACCAUGUCCCGGUAAUGCUCAGACUCAUUAUAGGCUUGGGGUGUAAUACAAAAAUCUGACGUAUUCCAGUCACACUGUAACUGAAAAUGAUGUUCCAAGCCCAUGAGCCUAUCUCUCAUCCAAAUGACAGUUUGUCUAAGAUCAUUAAUUUGGUUUGCCAAUUUUUGAUCUAUUUGGGUCUGAGAUUUUCACAAUUUUGAGAAAUUCUUUGGCCAAUCAUGGACAUAUUUUGCAGUUUGAACAGAGGAUUGUAAAACAAUUCCAGUAGCCGCAGCAGUAGCUGUGACUGCAAUAAGGCCCAUAAUCACUGCAAUCAAAGUAAAAAUGAAUCUUUUGGAUCUAGUUAGAAUUCCUUUUAAUACUUCCAUUAAAAUAUGGAUGAAUGGCGAGGCCUCCCACGGUUGGUCCAUGGACACGGGGAUCCACACACCCUCUCUUAAUCUCACUAGUAGAAUAUGGUGCUGCAAUUAAAAGUGGAAUCAAUGCAAGGAAAAAAUCUACAAUUUUCACAGGUUAUAGUUUGGGAAUCUGGUUGAUAACUAUGUUUCCUACAACUAGCAUAUAAAGGGGGUUUUACACAACUUUGCAAAGAAAUUGUCAGACUGGAAUUUAGGUUGAUAGUAUAAUAUGGCUUAUAAUCUCUUGUUCCUGUGGCUUGAUUUCCAGACCAAAUUCUAAUGUGGUGCAAGGCCACAGUAAACUUCCAUAAUUCUGGAUGUUCAGGACCAGUCACAGGACUAACUUUGGUUGAGGUGAUGAAAUUCCCUUUUCACCCCAUUUCCAUGGAUAGGGUGAUUCAAACCUUCUAUAAAUCUGGUCCAGUGUUUCAGUUAAAUCACUAUCAUAGGCCGGAUUAAUGGGCAAGAUAGAUGGGGCCUGUGAAUAUGAGUGAGUCUGGCCCGUACAAUUAUGAUAUAAUUGGCCUCGAGGGGCCAUCAGUAAACACCAUCAGAACAUUUUCUAAAGGUUUACAUUUGGCAAUUUUAGGUAAAAUCCAAGUAGUCAAUUUUAAAAACUGGAAGAUUUUUGUUUUUGGGUAUUGAUUGUCAAAAAUUCCCACAAAAUCAGUAAGACCAAUCUGCCAAGCACCAGAAUUGAUAAAGGCUUGUCUAACCUGUUCCUUGUUUAAAGGAACGAUGAUUUUGUCUGGGUCACUUCCACACAAUUUUAUUAUUUGUAGUUUUGCCUGACCAAUUAAUGUAGCCAUUUGAUCCAAGCACAAUGUAAAAGUCUUAAUUGUACUGUGAGGAAGGAACCACCACUCCACAGGAUCAGUAUUUUGAACAACGAUGCCUGUUGGAGAAUGUGCAGUAGCAAAAAUCAAAAGUUGGAGUGGGGCCAAGGGAUUUACUUGUGCUGAUUGAAUUUUUUCUUUAAUUUAAUUUCUUUAGUUGCCUCUGGAGUUAAUGUUCUUUUACUGUUUAAUUCCGGGUCCUCUCUUAAGAUAGAGAACAAAUUUGACAUGGCAUAAGUAGGGAUGCCUAGAGUUGGCCGAAUCCAGUUAAUAUCUCCUAGCAACUUUUGAAGUCAUUUAAUGUUUUUAAUGUGUCUUUUCUUAUUUAUAUUUUUGGUGGUUUAAUUUUCUUUUCCUCUACCUGCAUUCCCAAGUAAUGGAAAGGAGUAGAGGCUUGAAUCUUAUCAGAUGCUAUUGUCCGUUCUGCGUUGGCAACCUCUGUCUGCAGAAAUGUGUAAUAGUUAAUUAAUUUGUCUCUUGUUUCUGCAGCACACAAAAUAUCAUCAACAUAAUGAAUGAUACAACAGUCUGAAAACUUAUCUCUAACUGGCUGAAGAGCUUGAGCUACAAAAGUCUGACAAAUAGUUGGACUAUUAAGCAUUCCCUGAGCCCGCGUGCAGGAGGAGAUCGACCUCGCAGUGGGAGGCGCGCGACUGCCAGCGGCGCUGGAGGACCGCAGUACUAUGCCUUACACAGA